GACGAACGCUGGCGGCGUGCUUAACACAUGCAAGUCGAACGGAAAGGCCCUGCUUUUGUGGGGUGCUCGAGUGGCGAACGGGUGAGUAACACGUGAGUAACCUGCCCUUGACUUUGGGAUAACUUCAGGAAACUGGGGCUAAUACCGGAUAGGAGCUCCUGCUGCAUGGGGGGGGUUGGAAAGUUUCGGCGGUUGGGGAUGGACUCGCGGCUUAUCAGCUUGUUGGUGGGGUAGUGGCUUACCAAGGCUUUGACGGGUAGCCGGCCUGAGAGGGUGACCGGCCACAUUGGGACUGAGAUACGGCCCAGACUCCUACGGGAGGCAGCAGUGGGGGAUAUUGCACAAUGGGCGGAAGCCUGAUGCAGCAACGCCGCGUGCGGGAUGACGGCCUUCGGGUUGUAAACCGCUUUCGCCUGUGACGAAGCGUGAGUGACGGUAAUGGGUAAAGAAGCACCGGCUAACUACGUG
rnacentral:rRNA from 1 species